rnacentral:rRNA from 1 species
UACGAAGGGGGCUAGCGUUGCUCGGAAUGACUGGGCGUAAAGCGCACGUAGGCGGCUUUGUAAGUUAGAGGUGAAAGCCCAGAGCUCAACUCUGGAAUUGCCUUUAAGACUGCAUCGCUCGAAUUGUGGAGAGGUAAGUGGAAUUCCGUGUGUAGAGGUGAAAUUCGUAGAUAUUCGGAAGAACACCAGUGGCGAAGGCGACUUACUGGACACAUAUUGACGCUGAGGUGCGAAAGCGUGGGGAGCAAACAGG